UACAGAGGUCUCAAGCGUUUGUUCGGAUUCAUUGGGGCGUAAAGGGUGCGUAGGCGGCGCGGUAAGUCGGGUGUGAAAAUCUCGGAGCUUAACUCCGAAACUGCAUUCGAUACUGCCGUGCUUGAGGACUGGAGAGGAGACGUGGAAAUUUACGGUGUAGCGGUGAAAUGCGUAGAUAUCAGGAAGAACACCCGUGGCUAAGCGGCUCUCUAGUACGGGUACUGGACGCUGAGACGCGAAAGCGUGGGGAGCAACAGG
rnacentral:rRNA from 1 species